GACAGAGGGUGCAAACGUUGCUCGGAAUCACUGGGCGUAAAGGGCGUGUAGGCGGGAAUGUAAGUCGGGCGUGAAAGCCCCAGGCUCAACCUGGGAACUGCACUCGAAACUGCGUUUCUUGAGUAUCGGAGAGGAAAGCGGAAUACCUGGUGUAGAGGUGAAAUUCGUAGAUAUCAGGAAGAACACCCGUGGCGAAGGCGGUUCUCUGGGACGGUACUGACGCUGAGACGCGAAAGCGUGGGGAGCGAACAGG
rnacentral:rRNA from 1 species